AUACGGAGGGGGCAAGCGUUAUUCGGAAUUAUUGGGCGUAAAGGGCGCGUAGGCGGCCUGACAAGUCAAAGGUGAAAUCCCUCGGCCUAACCGAGGAACUGCCUUUGAAACUGCCAGGCUUGAGGCCGGGAGAGGGUAGUGGAAUUCCUAGUGUAGCGGUGAAAUGCGUAGAUAUUAGGAGGAACACCAGUGGCGAAGGCGACUACCUGGACCGGUACUGACGCUGAGGCGCGAAAGCGUGGGGAGCAAACAGGAUUAGAAACCCGGGUAGUCC
rnacentral:rRNA from 1 species